GGAAUAUUGCACAAUGGAGGGAACUCUGAUGCAGCGACGCCGCGUGAGUGAAGAAGUCACUAGUGAUGUAAAGCUCUAUCUGUAGGGAAGAAAGCAGACGGUACCUAAGGAAGAAGCACCGGCUAAAUACGUACCAGCAGCAGCGGUAAUACGUAUGGUGCAAGCGUUAUCCGGAAUUACUGGGUGUAAAGAGAGCGUAGGUGGCAAGGCAAGUGUGAUGUGAAACCCCAAAGCUUAACUAUGGGAAUGCAUUGGAAACGGUCUAGCUAGAGUGUAGGAGAGGUAAGCGGAAUUCCUAGUGUAGCGGUGAAAUGCGUAGAUAUUAGGAGGAACAUCGGUGGCGAAGGCGGCUUACUGGACUAUAACAGACACUGAGGCUCGAAAGCGUGGGGAGCGAACA
rnacentral:rRNA from 1 species